rnacentral:rRNA from 1 species
GGAAUUUUGGACAAUGGGGGCAACCCUGAUCCAGCCAUGCCGCGUGCGGGAAGAAGGCCUUCGGGUUGUAAACCGCUUUUGUCAGGGAAGAAAUGUCCUGGGUUAAUACCCUGGGGGGAUGACGGUACCUGAAGAAUAAGCACCGGCUAACUACGUGCCAGCAGCCGCGGUAAUACGUAGGGUGCGAGCGUUAAUCGGAAUUACUGGGCGUAAAGCGUGCGCAGGCGGUUAUACAAGACAGAUGUGAAAUCCCCGGGCUCAACCUGGGAACUGCAUCUGUGACUGUAUAGCUGGAGUACGGUAGAGGGGAGUGGAAUUCCGCGUGUAGCAGUGAAAUGCGUAGAUAUGCGGGGGAACACCGAUGGCGAAGGCAGCUCCCUGGACCUGUACUGACGCUCAUGCACGAAAGCGUGGGGAGCAAACAGGAUUAGAUACCCUGGUAGUCCACGCCCUAAACGAUGUCAACUGGUUGUUGGGAGGGUUUCUUCUCAGUAACGAAGCUAACGCGUGAAGUUGACCGCCUGGGGAGUACGGCCGCAAGGUUGAA